rnacentral:lncRNA from 1 species
UUCAUUUCAAUUCCUCUUCCCCGAUCUUCACUUUCUUCCCCAACCAGAUGACUUCCCGGCCACCGCAGAUAGGCAAGCUGCCAUCGGUUAGAUUCGCCAAGUCCCCAUGGAUCGAUCCUUUAUUUCCAUCUACGCCUCAACCCGAAAUCCCGAAUCUUGUCUUCUUCCUUGCCCCCUGACGCAUUGGUCAAGUUGUUGCAGGUUAGGCUUUGACCUCGCCAUUGUGGCAGUGAUCUCUGGCAAUAGCGUCCGCAUGAAGAAGCACUAGAAGAGAAGUGAACGGGGCUGCGUCUCCCCCGACAUCAUGAGGAGCAUUUCACGCCGCUGCAGCAGUUCUGGCCAGCAUAGCAUCUCCAGUGCGUUUUGCCUCCAUGGCACAUCUUCAAAUGACCAGAGAGUCUGUCGGCAUCUGUGGGUGGAAUUUCAGGUACGGUAGUGUGGAAUUCCACCCUAUCCUCUUGAUCUUGAGAAUCAUUCAUCAAUUUGAGUUGCAGUUUUCUAUGUUGUGUGCAGAUCGGAGGCUAUGGGAACCGCAGGUACAGCGGCACCGAUGCAACUCCAGGUUCUGCAGCUCAUUCCAUAUGUGCGUGCCCCAAAUCCUAAUCUAAAUUAAUUCGCUUGAUCUUAAAUCCAAACUCGAAUUCGCUAAAUCAAUCUGACAGUGACCAAGAUCAACCACUAUUGAUAGGGGAAGGACACUGGAGUUCCCUUCAACGUUUCUAAUGUUACAUUACCUUUGUGUCAACAGCAGGCUUACUCUUCUGUAAAUACUUUUUUUCUUUUUUUCUAAUAUGUAAGCAGUAGCAAGCUCACUCGAUCAUGUUCCAUUUUUGAAACUUUGGCUAUGAUUUCAUACAUCAUAUGUAGCCAUUUCGAAAUAACAUACCUGAUGGCAUUCUUGGGCCACAUAAUCAUGAGAGAAUUGGAUGAGCCUUAAGUCAACAUCGAUAGUCUAAAGCACAUUUUCGUUCUUUGCAGAGGUGCUGCCCUCAAAUGGCUCUCACGAUCAAAGCAAAUGGUGAUCUGAAUCAAUGAGUUUCUGUAAGUAACAGGGUUAUUAUUUAACAGAUGUGUGCUCAUCGUUCUAAGAUAUACGCCACAGGCUAUGAAAGUACAAUUCGUAUGCUUCUUUGGUGCACAAAGAAGUCAAUUUGGGCAGUCAUGUUAGUGGCACUCAAUGCGCUCGUUUUCUUCAAUAGUUUUAUUAUGAAAAUGAGGGAAAUGGCAACAGCCUUGAGUUCUUUUCCUUAAAAGAAAAGGUUACUCCCCUCCUUCAUUUUUAUAAGUGACGUGGGAUUGUUCAAUCAAAUUCCUAACAUAAAUGUGCACAAUCAGUGAUUUCGAAUAUCCUUAUGUAAAAGAACAUAAGAAUAUCUUGGUUAUCACUUGGCAUUAACCUUUAUCUAGCUAGGAUUAUUGAUAAAUAAAUAUUUUGAUUCUAUCACAGACUCAAUUGUAUUUUGUUGGACCAUCCGAGGACUGUAUAACAUGUAUCAUCUUGAAUUUCGAUUGUCAUCUCAACCAAAGAUGGCCGGCAGGGAGCAUCAAGAAACACUGUGAAACUUCCCAAGCAACACAAGAAUAACUAUUUCCAAUAUUGCUGCAAGAUGCACAAGAUGGAGAUAGGCCUAGCUACAAGAUGCAUGUGAUUGCGCUGAAGGUUGCAUAAUGAGUUGUCGUCGCUACUAGGAGACACUCAUGUUUUUUUUUUUUGUGUGUGUGGGCAUGAUAUGGUAUUAGAGGGCUGCUUGAUAGUAGCUCUCAACAAAUGUGUUUAAUCUUGUGCCUUUUUGGGAUACCAAAUGUGAGAAUUUUGGGGACUAAAUGAUUACAAAUUUACUGUCAAUUUCCUCAAUGUGUUAACAGCUAUCCCUGCAUAAGGUUGGCAGAUGCUUGUCCAUCUUGAGAUGAGGGGGGAAAGUGCAUUGCAGUAGUGGAAGAGCCAAAGUAAUGCAAGCUUC